AACGUAGGAGACAAACGUUAUCCGGAGUUACUGGGCGUAAAGGGCGUGUAGGCGGUCUGUUAAGUCUGGCGUGAAAGCUCUCGGCUAAACCGGGAGAGGUCGUUGGAUACUGGCAGACUAGAGGACGGUAGAGGCGUGUGGAAUUCCGGGUGUAGUGGUGAAAUGCGUAGAGAUCCGGAGGAACACCAGUGGCGAAGGCGACACGCUGGGCCGUACCUGACGCUAAAGCGCGACAGCAUGGGGAGCAAACGGAGUAGAUACCAAGACCG
rnacentral:rRNA from 1 species